AAUAUUGGACAAUGGGGGCAACCCUGAUCCAGCCAUGCCGCGUGUGUGAAGAAGGUCUUCGGAGUGUAAAGCACUGGAAGUGGGGAGGAAGGGCUUUAGGUUAAUACCCUGAAGUUUUGACGUUACCAAGAGAAUAAGCACCGGCAAACUCUGUCCCAGCAGCCGCGGUAAUACAGAGGGUGCAAGCGUUAAUCGGAAUUACUGGGCGUAAAGCGCGCGUAGGUGGUUCAGUAAGAUGGGUGUGAAAUCCCCGGGCUUAGCCUGGGAACUGCUUUCAUAACUGCUGAGCUAGAGUACGGUGGAGGGUAGUGGAAUUUCCUGUGUAGCGGUGAAAUGCGUAGAUAUAGGAAGGAACACCAGUGGCGAAGGCGACUACCUGGACUGAUACUGACACUGAGGUGCGAAAGCGUGGGGAGCAAAC
rnacentral:rRNA from 1 species